rnacentral:rRNA from 1 species
GAUGAACGCUGGCGGCGUGCCUAAUACAUGCAAGUCGAGCGAACGGACGAGAAGCUUGCUUCUCUGAUGUUAGCGGCGGACGGGUGAGUAACACGUGGAUAACCUACCUAUAAGACUGGGAUAACUUCGGGAAACCGUAGCUAAUACCGGAUAAUAUUUUGAACCGCAUGGUUCAAAAGUGAAAGACGGUCUUGCUGUCACUUAUAGAUGGAUCCGCGCUGCAUUAGCUAGUUGGUAAGGUAACGGCUUACCAAGGCAACGAUGCAUAGCCGACCUGAGAGGGUGAUCGGCCCCACUGGAACUGGGACACGGUCCAGACUCCUACGGGAGGCAGCAGUGGGGAAUCUGCCGCAAUGGGCGAAAGCCUGACGGAGCAACGCCGCGUGAGUGAUGAAGGUCUUCGGUUCGUAAAACUCUGUUAUUGGGGAAGAACAUAUGUGUAAGUAACUGUGCACAUCUUGACGGUACCUAAUCAGAAAGCCACGGCUACCUACUU